rnacentral:rRNA from 1 species
GAUGAACGCUGGCGGCGUGCCUAAUACAUGCAAGUCGAGCGAACAGACGAGGAGCUUGCUCCUCUGACGUUAGCGGCGGACGGGUGAGUAACACGUGGAUAACCUACCUAUAAGACUGGGAUAACUUCGGGAAACCGGAGCUAAUACCGGAUAAUAUAUUGAACCGCAUGGUUCAAUAGUGAAAGACGGUUUUGCUGUCACUUAUAGAUGGAUCCGCGCCGCAUUAGCUAGUUGGUAAGGUAACGGCUUACCAAGGCAACGAUGCGUAGCCGACCUGAGAGGGUGAUAGGCCACACUGGAGCUGAGACACGGUCCAGACUCCUACGGGAGGCAGCAGUAGGGAAUCUUCCGCAAUGGGCGAAAGCUUGACGGAGCAACGCCGCGUGAGUGAUGAAGGUCUUCGGAUCGUAAAACUCUGUUAUUAGGGAAGAACAAAUGUGUAAGUAACUAUGCACGUCUUGACGGUACCUAAUCAGAAAGCCACGGCUAACUACGUG